UACGUAGGGGGCGAGCGUUGUCCGGAUUUAUUGGGCGUAAAGAGCGUGUAGGCGGUUCGGUAAGUCUGUCGUGAAAUCCUGAGGCUCAACCUUGGACGUGCGAUGGAUACUGCCGGGCUAGAGGAUGGUAGAGGCGAGUGGAAUUCCCGGUGUAGCGGUGAAAUGCGCAGAUAUCGGGAGGAACACCAGUAGCGAAGGCGGCUCGCUGGGCCAUUCCUGACGCUGAGACGCGAAAGCUAGGGGAGCGAACGAGG
rnacentral:rRNA from 1 species